AAAUUAAUUGUCACACGUAUGUUUUGUGAACACGAAAAUAAAAAACACCGUCUUCUACUGCCAAAGUUAUCCACUGCGUGCGCUAAUGUCCGUUUCGGCUUCCCCUACCAUGACUUCGCACGGUGCCUAUAUGGGGUUUAAUUUUGGGAUCUGGUCUCGUCGAACUACUAUCUUUUUAGGACAUUGCAACACUACUUAUCUGAGUUGUUUUCGAGAGCAAUACAACGAUUAUAGAGCUGGCAUUCUUUUGAGAUCUGCAAACAGGAAAAAGUCACUGGAGGCCAGUUCUAGAGAAUACCGGUGGAUGGAGAAGCAAUUUGAAGCCCAAUUCAUACAACUUUGCCAUCGUUUUUUUGAUCGAUUGUGAGCACGCGCGGCACCCACUUUGCACACAGCUUUCACAUGUCCAAGUAUUCAUUUAUUAUAAGUUCUACACGUUCCUUUCAUAUCUUUAGAGUCUCAACUAACUCAAUCAACUUUAUUUUAUUGUCAUUCAAAAUUAUUUUCUGAACUUUCUUGAUGUUUUCGUCGGUAAAAGCCUCUUUCGGUCGUCCGCUGCGUGCAUCAUCUUCGAUGCUCAUUUCGCCUCGUUUAAACUUAGCAAACCACUUCUCAACGGUUGAUUUUCCUGGUGCAGAGCUCGAAUAAUGUUUAUCAAGCCAAGCCUUGGCUUCAACAAUAUUAAUUUUUCAAUAAAAAGCAAUGUUUUAUUAACACACGAAAAUCUUUGUUAUCCAUCUUUUUGAAAAUAACAAAAGCCGCUUCACUCAAAAUGCUACAUCUCAGGAAUCAACUACUCGACAGUUGAGAAAUUUAUACAUAUAUCUUGUGAAGGUUAGUACUAACAAAAAAUGAUAUGGAUUUAAUCCUAGUAAUGCUAUCUAUGUGUUAGCCUACGGACUUUUCAGCCCAACUGUUAAUUAAGGGGCAUUAUUAGUGUGACCGCUUGAAAAUAAGGUAACAUUUCGGAAUUUUUUUUAAAGAAAACCACUGCAUGGAAUGUUUUAAUUUAUUUAGGAGAUAUUUGUGGAUAUGUAAUGAAUAUAUGACUACAUUUGUGGACCAAAAAAUUGAAAAUUAAGCGAGUUAUUCGCAAUCUCUCAAGGCCCCAACAAAAAAGUUCCAACACUAUAGUACUUCAGUUAUAGCACCUUCACAGUGCUUGAAAUAAAAAAAACUGAAAAGUUUAUUAAAUUAGAAAGAAUUUCCUCUACCAUGAACCUCGAUCGAAAUGAAAAAUUGUAAUUUAACAAAUUGGCGGAGUUUUAAAAAUAAGUUUCAAAUUUGGCGCGAACAUUUAAUGAUUUUUGGCCGGUCAAAAUUACAUUUUAUAUUCGAUCGGAAAACUGAAGGUUUAUGGUAUAUAGACAUAUAUAUAUAUAUAUAUAUAUAUAAAGCUGCAACAAGAAUUAAAUCGAUCGGAUGAUUUGUCUUCGAGUUCUAACUACAUCAAAUCUGGAAAAUAUAAUUUCGACAAAAAUGCGUUUAAAAUUUAAGCUACUGAUGUCAUCGUUAUAAAUACAAAAAUAUUAGAUAGCUGUAACAAAAAAACUAUUUGAGAUAAGCAUUUGAAAUUUUAGUAUGUUAUUUUUAGAGUAAUAGACUAUCAAAAUAUGCAAAAAAGAAUACGAUUUGUUCAAAAUUUUACACUAAUGGUGUCCCUUAACAAGUUGAGCGCCACGUCCGCUAUCGGUGAUGGACAUUAGACUUUCAGUUUGGGCCGCGUCAGUCACGCAUGACUGACAGCGUAUAACAUGAUACAUCUAAAUAGUG